GUUUUUCUCCCCAAUGAGGAACCCAUCCAAGAGCAACUAGGGGUUUUUGAAAGACAGAGACUUACUAUCAGUGAAGAUGCCCUUUCACGGUUAAAGUUUCUCAACAAGUCUCUGCCUCAGUCCAAAUGUGGGGAAAAAUGUCAUCCUGGAUUUGUCAAGAGGGCUCGAGAAGGAGAGCCAGUUUGCUGCUAUGACUGUGUUCCUUGUCCGGAGGGAACCAUCUCCACUCAGGAAGAAACAGGAAGGGGAGUGAUUCAGGUUUAUGAAUUAUUCAUCGCCUCGUUCUGCUUCUGGCGCCACUGAUGUCCGAGCCCUGUG